rnacentral:rRNA from 1 species
GUCCAAGGCCAUACCACCCUGAACGUACCGAUCUCUUCUGAUCUUGUAAGCUGAGCAGGGUUGGGCCUGGUUAGUACUUGGAUGGGAGAAUAGCAGCUGGGAUGGAGG